UCCAGAAGAUGCUCAGAGUAGUAUGCAGUAAACACUUGUGGAUUGGAGAUGUGCCGCCUUCCAACAAGAAAUCCCUCUGCUGGGAGAAAUGUCAAAUCUGAUGUGUCUGAGAGGAAUGAACAAUAGAACUGCUGGCUGGUUCGGCUGAAAGCUGCGGUCUCAGGACCAGGGCUGCUUGUACAGUUUAAUAGGCUAAAAGAGCCUGACACUGCCCUGGGGUAGAGAGACUGGGGAGAAAGAGGGGAGAAAACCAAAGGUGAAGGUAAUGACCUUAUAAAAGAAAAUCCAAGAGUUAGCAUGGACACAUAUUAAUCAAUCAAUCAAUUAAUCAAACCUGUUUAAGAAUGUACUCUGUGCUUAGCAGAGUGCUGGCCAGUGAAGACAUAAAGUCUCUGUUCCCCAGGAACCUGGUCCAGGACCAGAUUCCAAAAUGCUUGCAAAUGGUUUGGUUUGGCAUGGUCAGAUCUUGUCUUCAAUAAAAUGAUGAAGUUUGA